rnacentral:rRNA from 1 species
ACGACUCUCGACAACGGAUAUCUCGGCUCUCGCAUCGAUGAAGAACGUAGCGAAAUGCGAUACUUGGUGUGAAUUGCAGAAUCCCGUGAACCAUCGAGUCUUUGAACGCAAGUUGCGCCCGAAGCCUUUAGGCCGAGGGCACGCCUGCCUGGGUGUCAC